AACGAACGCUGGCGGCAUGCCUAACACAUGCAAGUCGAACGAGACCUUCGGGUCUAGUGGCGCACGGGUGCGUAACGCGUGGGAACCUGCCCUUAGGUUCGGAAUAACUCCCCGAAAGGGGUGCUAAUACCGGAUAAUGUCUUCGGACCAAAGAUUUAUCGCCUUUGGAUGGGCCCGCGUUGGAUUAGCUAGUUGGUAGGGUAAAAGCCUACCAAGGCGACGAUCCAUAGCUGGUCUGAGAGGAUGAUCAGCCACACUGGGACUGAGACACGGCCCAGACUCCUACGGGAGGCAGGAGUGGGGAAUAUUGGACAGUGGGCGGAAGCCUGAUCCAGCUAGGCCGCGUGAGUGAUGAAGGCCUUAGGGUUGUAAAGCUCUUUUACCCGGGAUGAUAAUGACAGUACCGGGAGAAUAAGCCCCGGCUAACUCCGUG
rnacentral:rRNA from 1 species